rnacentral:rRNA from 1 species
AAGCGUGGGGAGCAAACAGGAUUAGAUACCCUGGUAGUCCACGCCCUAAACGAUGGAUACUAGACGAAGGCGGAUUAAUUCCGUCUGUGUCGAAGCAAACGCGAUAAGUAUCCCGCCUGGGGAGUACGGCCGCAAGGUUGAAACUCAAAGAAAUUGACGGGGACCCGCACAAGCAGCGGAGCAUGUGGUUUAAUUCGAAGCAACGCGAAGAACCUUACCAAGACUUGACAUCGUAUGACCGCCAUAGAAAUAUGGAAUCUCUUCGGAGCAUAUAGACAGGUGGUGCAUGGUUGUCGUCAGCUCGUGUCGUGAGAUGUUCGGUUAAGUCCGGCAACGAGCGCAACCCCUAUUAUUAGUUGCCAAUAUUAAGUUAGGAACUCUAAUAAGACUGCCGUGGAUAACACGGAGGAAGGUGGGGAUGACGUCAAAUCAUCAUGCCCCUUACGUCUUGGGCCACACACGUGCUACAAUGGGCGCUACAGAGAGCAGCGAAAUCGCAAGGUGGAGCAAAUCUCAAAAAAGCGUUCUCAGUUCGGAUUGUGGGCUGCAACCCGCCCACAUGAAGUCGGAGUUGCUAGUAAUCCCGAAUCAGAAUGUCGGGGUGAAUGCGUUCCCGGGUCUUGUACACACCGCCCGUCACGCCAUGGGAGUUGGGGGUACCCAAAGUCAGUGAGCUAACCCGCAAGGGAGGCAGCUGCCUAAGGUAAAACCGAUGACUGGGGUGAAGUCGUAACAAGGUAGCCGUAUCGGAAGGUGCGGCUG